rnacentral:lncRNA from 1 species
UUAGUAGGAAAUCAUUAAUGCCUGACAUGGACUAAGAAACUUAUCAUUCUUCCUUAAAGCAUUAGUAUAUAUAAGUUGUCAGGAACUGCAACAUAUGCAUCAAAUACAAAUAAAUAAAUCCAGCACAAAAUGCAGUCUUACACCAUGAUGUUCCAUCCAGAGCAAUUGCUUCCUUGGCAUGUUUGAUACUUUCACCUGUCAUGUCUUCUGGAUUUUCAACCUCUGGAAAGUAGAAUACAGUCAGAUAAUGAUAUGACACUUAGGAAAAAUGUGAUUAUGUGAAUAUAGUCUUCCUAUUGAAAAACAUCCCAUGAAUCAUGGGCCAUGAUUAAGGUUCAAAAUUCAAAUUGCUAGAAGUUCCAAAUGUACAAAUAAAAGAAUUAUCAUAUUUCGCCCCAAAAUUUCACCCGUUUCACCUAUGCACUGGCUUCUUCUUUCAAGCACUGAUAAUUGACAUAAUAGCUCUCUGUUAUUUGGAUCCUGAACACAACAAUACAAAUAUAUGCAUCACAGUUUCUGGACUAAAUUGAUAACUAAUGAAACUUGUAACUAAAAUCCAAGAAGCAACAUAUAAAAUGACCUGUUCAAGGCAAAAUUUGGAGCAACUUAUCCAUGCAUUCUGUUACCAGAAAAUAAAUCAAUACAGUCAAGAAAAUAAACGUAUAAUAAUAAAAAAAAUAUAUGAAUGUUUCUUUACUCACAACAUCGGUUGAAUUGUGCUCUUGCUUAUGAUUAGAACCAGCCUCUAGAACCAUAAAGUUUCUCAAAGAGAAAGACGACAUUGCUAAAAACCAAGUAGGAAAAAAAGAGAAAGAAAAACUAGAAAAAUGAUGCUAAAAAAAGAACAACAGAACACAAAAUAGAAAGAAAAAAAAUGUAAACUUAAACAAAAAAUAAUCCAAAGUACAAGAAAAUUAUAAUGAAAAUUAAAGAAAAAAAGACGAAAAUGGCUAUAUUGACAACUGGCUGACUCAAUGGACGAGACGGCUAUAUUGACAACUGGCUGACUUAAUUCUUACCAACUAUUUUUCUUCCUCUCCCAUAUAUUUAUAAUCUUAGUACUUUCUUAGUUAUAUGUUUUGAUUAUUGCUUGUAGUUUGUUAUUACUACAAAAAAUUUAUGAAUAAUAUUUGGUAAGUAUAUAUAUACAACAACACAAUAUAAUUCACUUAGUGGGUUUAUGGUGGAUAGUUGGUUUCACAGACCUUAUCUGUAUCCUGGGAUAAAGAGGCUCUUCUCUAAGAACUCCCCACUCGAAUAGAAAAGGGAAAAGGAGAUCAGCUUAUUCAUAAUAAUAUUGAUGCUACUCGUUAGGGAUGUCAAUGGAUAUUCAAAAACCGACUAAACCGACCGAAUUAUACCGUACCGAGCCAAUUUUUAGGUUUCUUUUAAUAAAACCGUAGGUUUUUAUAUAAAUACAUAAUCGUACCGUUAAUUAAUGUAGGUUUUAAUUUUAUAAAAAUAAAGUGAAAAAAAAUACCGAACGAUACCGAAUAAAGUUAAUAUAGAAAAUAUAUUUAUAUAUUAAGUUCAAAAAUAAUAAAGCUUUAAGUUUUUUUGGGGACUUGGAAUUAUGAAAAUAGUUACAAGCCAACAAGUAAUAAAAACUCAAAAUUUUAAUUCACAAACCUAUUAUCUUACUCAUGUUGAAACUAUAUUAUUUUCAGCAUAUUCACUAGCAAGACACAAGGAGGUAUAUUCUUGCGAUUAUGAGUAGCAAACUAUAAUGUAUUGUAUAUGUUUCCUUUCAUAUGAUUUGCAUUUAUCUCCCCCCUAAAGGCUUUUAAUGUUGAGGGCGCCAAGCGCUUUAAAUUAAUCAUUUUCAAGGUAUAUAAAUAUACAUAUACAAGAUUUUUGCCUAAGCUUACGAGAUCCGAUGAUCCCUCACUAUAACACAUACGUUCACCUCUAAUUACAAGAUUCUAACACUUAAAAACUUGAGUCUCGGUAAAAGAGAUAACUGUUAGCUUUGUGAACUGCAGUAGUUUGGCGUACUCGCAGAUUUGCCUUUGCAUAUAUGUUUUCUUCCUUUAACAUUUGAGGUAAGGAUAGCCUAAGACCAUAUAAAUAAAUAACAACUCAGUUACUCAACUAAUGUGAGAUAUUCUAACAUUUGUGAAAGCUUGUGUAUAUUGUGUAUAUUGUGUUAGGUAAGGGUAUAAGUUAAUGAGGUGUCUUGGGUCUAUUGAAUUUAAACUUUUAAUUUUGGGCAACAUUUUAAUGAUAACAAACAACAUAUAAUUAUUGUUAACAUAUUAAAAGAUGCCAGCUUAAAGUAAUAGCUACCUGAUUAAACAACGGAUUUUCAGUAAUAUGCAUUUUAUGCAUUUCAAUGUGCUAAAUACUAAUGAGAAUUACCUGAUUAAAUAACGGAUUUUCAGUAAUAUGCAUUUCAAUGUGCUAAAUACUAAUGAGAAUAUAAGUUUGUAACUGAUCGAAUAUAAGUUUGUAACUGAUCGAAUCUGUUAAGUUGUUAGCUUGUGUCAGUGGUAGUUAGCUAAGCUCACACAAUGUAUAACGGAAUCUCUCUUCCUCUACAUUCUUUUUACUCAAACCGUUGUUCAUUUACUUUUCUAUUUUUAUUUUUAUUAUGUUUUAAAUUAGAUAGAAAACUCACGAAGGAGUUUUAUUUUUUUUUAAUAUUUUUAUUUCUUAUGAAUAUUUCACAUAAUAAUCGUUUUCUUCUUGGUAUUGCUAUCUCAUUAUUUUCUAUAUGGUAUCAGUCUUACGACAGUCAAAUUGGUAUUGCGCAUAAAUUCAAGUUUUUCCGCAGCAAAAACGAAAGUCAAUCAAAUUAUAAUAUUUAACAUAAUUACCUUAUAAUAUUUAACAUAAUAAUUUUCAAAGAAAUGGUAUAAACGAAAUACUUCACUUAAUCCUAUUAAUUUUAGGAUAUUCAUGUUAGGCCAACUUUUAUGACAUACACGUUUGGCAAUAUUUACUACUACUAUUAAUUUAAUCAUAUUAAUAUUUUGACAUGAACAACGAGCAGCACGAGUGUCAAUGGUUCGGUUCGGUGGUUUUUUUUGUUAAGGAACUCACAGACAAGAGAUUCAAAGACGGAAUAUAUAAAAGAGAAUUACAGGGUAAGGACGAGAUGGUUUUCUUUCAUAGUACCACUCCCAACAAUGGGGGUAGUAGAGCCAAGGAUAUGUUAAAAGAGAUGGCUAUGAGACUAGUGCAAACAAUACGUUUAAAUAGUAGAUUUAGUAGUCUUCUUUCUUUCUCCGGGUUCUGUUCGUAUGUACGCAUACCUUACUCUUAUCUGGCGAGGUAGAGAGGCUGUAUCCAAUAUACCAUCGACAAGAUUAAUAUACGCAUUUUAUAGGACAUAACAAAACUCUCUAGAAAUUUUUAUUUUUUUAAAGGGUGAUGAAUUAAAAAAAGAUGAAAGAUAAUUGGAGUAUAGAUCCAUCAAUUAUUCAACAGGAGCAUAAAGAAACUAAGUAAAUAGAAAGAAAAUAUAAAUAACAAGAGUGGAAAGAUAUUAAUCAAGGUGGGAUUCAAGAAAAGAUUAAAUAUUCAAAAGAUAAAUGCAAAUCAUAUGAAAGGAAACAUAUACAAUACAUUAUAGUUUGCUACUCAUAAUCGCAAGAAUAUACCUCCUUGUGUCUUGCUAGUGAAUAUGCUGAAAAUAAUAUAGUUUCAACAUGAGUAAGAUAAUAGGUUUGUGAAUUAAAAUUUUGAGUUUUUAUUACUUGUUGGCUUGUAACUAUUUUCAUAAUUCCAAGUCCCCAAAAAAACUUAAAGCUUUAUUAUUUUUGAACUUAAUAUAUAAAUAUAUUUUCUAUAUUAACUUUAUUCGGUAUCGUUCGGUAUUUUUUUUUCACUUUAUUUUUAUAAAAUUAAAAACCUACAUUAAUUAACGGUACGAUUAUGUAUUUAUAUAAAAACCUACGGUUUUAUUAAAAGAAACCUAAAAAUUGGCUCGGUACGGUAUAAUUCGGUCGGUUUAGUCGGUUUUUAAAUAUCCAUUGACAUCCCUAACGAGUAGCAUCAAUAUUAUUAUGAAUAAGCUGAUCUCCUUUUCCCUUUUCUAUUCGAGUGGGGAGUUCUUAGAGAAGAGCCUCUUUAUCCCAGGAUACAGAUAAGGUCUGUGAAACCAACUAUCCACCAUAAACCCACUAAGUGAAUUAUAUUGUGUUGUUGUUGUAUAUAUAUACUUACCAAAUAUUAUUCAUAAAUUUUUUGUAGUAAUAACAAACUACAAGCAAUAAUCAAAACAUAUAACUAAGAAAGUAUUAUGAUUAUAAAUAUAUGGGAGAGGAAGAAAAAUAGUUGGUAAGAAUUAAGUCAGCCAGUUGUCAAUAUAGCCGUCUCGUCCAUUAUGAUUAUAAAUAUAUGGGAGAGAGGAAGAAAAAUAGUUGGUAAGAAUUAAUAAUACUAAUAUUUCUACAAGAUCCAAAAGUGGAGUAUCAAAACGUAUAGUUAUAGAAAUGGUGGGAGGAUUAUUAUUGAAAAUCUUAAUAUUUGCUGAUUGAUAAUUUAUUGUACAUAAUUCAAGUAAUAUACAACAACAUUUUUUCUAAUUGUAUCGUGGAAUAGUUUUUAAAGAAUAUUUUACCUUCUUAUUUAGAAUUAUAUUAGUUUAAUUUCAAGAUUCUUAUUUGAUUCUAAUUUGCAGUCAUAUAUUUAUGCGUUAGUUUAGAAAAAUACAAAAUUUUAAAAUCUUUAUUUGUAUAAAAUUUAAUUUAAUCACCUUAGUAAAAUUAUUAGUACGAUAUACUAUAACUUCUAACUUCCAUAUAUAUAUAUAUAGUUGUUGUUCUAACUUCUAACUUCAUAGUUUCCCUUUAUUUUCCAAAAACAAAAUCAAUAUGGCUCAAAGAACCUCCGCCAUGAAAGUUAAACAAACUUGGAUUAUCACUCCACGACAAGCAGAAAUGAGAAUGAGUCAACCGUCUCGUCCAUUGAGUCAGCCAGUUGUCAAUAUAGCCAUUUUCGUCUUUUUUUCUUUAAUUUUCAUUAUAAUUUUCUUGUACUUUGGAUUAUUUUUUGUUUAAGUUUACAUUUUUUUUCUUUCUAUUUUGUGUUCUGUUGUUCUUUUUUUAGCAUCAUUUUUCUAGUUUUUCUUUCUCUUUUUUUCCUACUUGGUUUUUAGCAAUGUCGUCUUUCUCUUUGAGAAACUUUAUGGUUCUAGAGGCUGGUUCUAAUCAUAAGCAAGAGCACAAUUCAACCGAUGUUGUGAGUAAAGAAACAUUCAUAUAUUUUUUUUAUUAUUAUACGUUUAUUUUCUUGACUGUAUUGAUUUAUUUUCUGGUAACAGAAUGCAUGGAUAAGUUGCUCCAAAUUUUGCCUUGAACAGGUCAUUUUAUAUGUUGCUUCUUGGAUUUUAGUUACAAGUUUCAUUAGUUAUCAAUUUAGUCCAGAAACUGUGAUGCAUAUAUUUGUAUUGUUGUGUUCAGG